rnacentral:rRNA from 1 species
GUGCCAGCAGCCGCGGUAAUACGAAGGGUGCAAGGCGUUAAUCGGAAUUACUGGGCCGUAAAGGCGCGGCGUAGGUGGUUUGAUAAGUUGGAUGUGAAAGCCCCGGGCUCAACCUGGGAAUUGCAUCCAAAACUGUCUGACUAGAGUAUGGCAGAGGGUGGUGGAAUUUCCUGUGUAGCGGUGAAAUGCGUAGAUAUAGGAAGGAACACCAGUGGCGAAGGCGACCACCUGGGCUAAUACUGACACUGAGGUGCGAAAGCGUGGGGAGCAAACAGGGAUUAGAUACCCUGGUAGUCC